UCAACUCCCGAGUUAUGAACCGACACCCACUGCAUCCCAUUUUCUCUCUCAUAUCUCCAAAAUUUAAAGAUAUGCUAGAGUUGGCCCUCUUUCUCCAAGGGGGGACGUGUCCCUCCAAAAUUUAAGUUCCCAUUUAAAUUUCUUGUUUCUGUUGAAAUCAUUGAAACUUUUUAAUGCUUUUUAGGAAAAAUGAUCAAUGCUUAAAUUGUCCUUAUAAAAGAGACAGAAAAAUGUUUGAUUUCAUAAUCCAAACCAACACACAAAAUAACGUAACGGACAUUAAACAUUAUUCGCAGACGUCUGAAUAACACUCUUCAGUUAAAAAAGAAAAAAGAAAAAAAGAAAAAAAGGGGGUUUCGAUCUCAUAAUCUAAAGCCACACCUUUUCCGUCACCAACAUCAAUCAGAAGCUAAGACAAAAAAGCAGGAACUCUAUUUUUUCAGAGUUGAAACUGGAAGUCAACAUAGGAGAGGAGCAUUUUCACCAAAAAGAAAAAAACACGUACAGAGCUGGCUGAUUUACAAGCCAACCCAAAUAGCAGAAAAUUAGGUGGAAAUGGUUCACACAAGUUGACUGCAAUAGCAAAGCGAAGCCAGCAUUUUAUCCCGAUCACAUGUACUUCCCAAAUUCUUGAUAUAGUUAAAGGACACCAUGCAGUGCCCUAGAAUGUAAGAAAUUAUGGCAUUGUCUGCCUCAAAAGCCAGAUAUAGUUCUUCCAAGACCAAAUUCAUAUGUAAGAUGUUCUCUCUCUGCAAACGGGGAGUAUGAUAUUCCUGUCUAAAAACAAGAUAAUGCAGGCAAAUGAGAUACAGGGAGCAAAUGUAGCACAGGUUUUCAUGGAACUCGAGUGGAGUAGUUAUAUGAAGGUUAAUAAAUACGCAAAUUAUAGAAAUCAAAGUUGGAAGGUGUAUUGAACAGAACUUAAUAAUUAAACGAUUCUGCUACAUGUACGUAAUGGUUUACAUACACAUAAUGUAGUGAGAUACGAUUGGGUUAAAAAA
rnacentral:lncRNA from 1 species